UGGGGGUAAUGGCAAAUGAAUUAAAGGAAGAGAGAGUGUUGAUGUCGUUUCAGAUAUUGCGGCCAAAUUCAGAAGAAUGUGGGCAGCACGUUUCAGUUUUUAAUUUUUUCCUUUUUUGAGUUAUUAAUGAGUGGUAUUAUCAUUUAAUUAUUAUUUUCUAAAGUUUAAUUACUCUUAACUUUGGCUUUUGCGGCCUUUUGUUUUG
rnacentral:lncRNA from 1 species